rnacentral:rRNA from 1 species
UGAGGAAUAUUGGUCAAUGGGCGGGAGCCUGAACCAGCCAAGUCGCGUGAGGGAUGACGGCCCUAUGGGUUGUAAACCUCUUUUGCCGGGGAGCAAAGUGCCGCACGUGUGCGGUUUGGAGAGUACCCGGAGAAAAAGCAUCGGCUAACUCCGUGCCAGCAGCCGCGGUAAUACGGAGGAUGCGAGCGUUAUCCGGAUUUAUUGGGUUUAAAGGGUGCGUAGGCGGACGCUUAAGUCAGCGGUAAAAUUGCGGGGCUCAACCUCGUCGAGCCGUUGAAACUGGGUGCCUUGAGUGGGCGAGAA